AACGAACGCUGGCGGCAGGCUUAACACAUGCAAGUCGAACGAGAUCUUCGGAUCUAGUGGCAGACGGGUGAGGAACACGUGGGAACAUCCCUUUCAGUUCGGAAUAACGUUGGGAAACUAACGCUAAUACCGGAUACGUCCUUCGGGAGAAAGAUUUAUCGCUGAAAGAUUGGCCCGCGUCUGAUUAGCUAGUUGGUGAGGUAAUGGCUCACCAAGGCUUCGAUCAGUAGCUGAUCUGAGAGGAUGAUCAGCCACAUUGGGACUGAGACACGGCCCAAACUCCUACGGGAGGCAGCAGUGGGGAAUACUGGACAAUGGGCGCAAGCCUGAUCCAGCCAUGCCGCGUGAGUGAUGACGGCCUUCGGGCUGUAAAGCUCUUUUGUCCGGGAAGAUAAUGACUGUACCGGAAGAAUAAGCCCCGGCAAACUUCGUGCCAGCCGCCGCGGUAA
rnacentral:rRNA from 1 species